AAAACUUCCAUGACUUGAUAUUCAUGAUAAGAGGCUUUUCAAGUCUCCAUCCGCUAUUUUAUUUUCUUCCUCUUCGUUGGGCAAAGUCCAAGAGCUUCUCAUGCUAAUGAACCAAAAGGAUGGGACCGAAGCUCACGUCAAAGAGCCGCUGCCCACCAAAAGAAAAAAUAAAAAGAAGAAAGAAAGAAAAGAAAAGAAAGAGCAAGAGAAGAAGAAGAGGGGACAAUUGCAAGACAGCCCUCCGUUGCUUGAAGUCCCCCCCACCCAAAAAAAAAAAGGAAAAGCUUCGCCAUCUCCUCGAGGAUCAAGGAGACCAUGGAGGACCUCAGCGGGCAGAUCCCGUUGCCAGGAGCUGGCGGUGCCUCCUUCCUCUCUGGCAUGGGUGGCGGCGGUAGGCAGCAUCUCCUCCCUCUUCGGUGUGGGCGGCUAUGGGCAGACCAGCGCAGAGUACCAGAACCCAGGCCACCUCACCACCCUCGCCACGGUCGGUCCCCCUUGUUGAAGGGCAAGAAACCCCCGCUGCUUCCACCAUCGGCAGCUAGCUGCUAUAGAGGUGAGCAUGCAGGGAGUGGCGAUGCAUUUGCCGGCACUGGAGGAGAUGGCUGGUGGGCACCCACUGAAGACAAGAGGGGCGAAGGGGGUCUGGGCAUUUCCCAUCUGCCGUCGUUGACACCGGACUGGAUCCCGACCCCGGGCGGCUGAAGGAGGCAAAGCGUGGUACCUCCGCAUGGGCGUAACCAUCCUUCCUGGUCGGUGCCAAGCUCACUGGAUCCGAGCCUUCGAGCUCUCCCCGCUCGCGCUUCACCUCUGCCGGUGCCAAAGGAGGUCUCUGAUGGUGCCGAUCUCGCCCCGCUUUGGCCCUUCGAAGCCGACUUCUGCAUCCGCUUCUCCAAUCUUGCCGCCCUUGUGUAACAUCCCUGAAUAUUCUGGUAGAUCUGAAGAAGAGAAAUAGGAAAUGAAGGAGAAAUUUCAGAGGAGGGAGAUGCUCCGGGAGGGAAAUCUGAGAUCUGGGAAGGAGAAGGAGAAGAAGAAGGAUUGAGGAGGGAAGUUUAACUAUUCAAAUUUUUUCCCAUAUCAGAUCUCACAUCUCACGGUUACAAUCUAUUUAUAUAUAGUUACAGUGAUAAAUAAAAAUAAAAUAUUUGUAAAAUAAAAUACAAAUGAACCAGAUUUUAUCUGUGUUGCUGCUUAACAGAUCAUGCUAAUGGAUCUAUUUUUGACCGGAUUCUCUACCCAUUAUUCAUUAGGAUAAAUAAGGUGGAGAACCCUUUAGAUGCUGUCGAUCUCUUCUUUUUCUUUCCCAUCGCCUCCAGAAACCCUAGCCGCUUCUGGAUGAACUGUCCUAUGCUGGUCUUCGAUCUGAGCUCCUGAAGACCAAAGUCCUUUGUUCCUCACAAGCCUUCCGUCUGAUGCUCAGAUUCAAAGAUGAAUAUUUUUUUUAUUUCAUUUUUAUUUUUAUUUUCUCCUUUCUUUUAUUCUAUCAAAACUUCCUCUUUUUCUUUUGUUUCAGAUGUUACACCUUGAUAUGAUGGAGGAUCCCCGCUCCGAUCGGAUCUUCUGAGUUCCUCGUCUCCAAUCUUGCCGCCAUGGAGACUGAGGAGCUCGCCGACGAGGUUUCUACACUGAGUAUCUCGACAGCAAUCAAGAAAAUUCAAAGCCACCUGACAACGACGAAGAGGGCACGGCCAUUCCGAGGCCGAUCCAUGUUAUGCAGCGAGUGUCCUCUCGAUCAAGUCUUCUUGGGAGUACAGCUCCUCUCCUCCAAAACUCGCUUUAGAGAAUUUGAGCAGCAAAGGGAGUUUAGUGUGAAGAGAUUCGAGAACAUCAGGCUAGAUAAAUUAUGAUCUGGAUCAUCAGCACCUAAAUCCCACUUGACUAUAUACAAGGCUUCAACUAGCGCUGAUGUACUAGGAGCCAUAGACUAGGCCAUCGCUAAUGGAGUUGAUGCCCUUGCACCGUCGGUCAGUCAAGGCACGAAGAUGAAAUUUUUGGAUAGUGAAGUUACCAUCGGCUUGCAUGCGGCGGUUGAGAAUGGAAUCCCCACAAUUUGCCCCUGGGCAGUAGAGGUUGGGAUUGGUAGUCGCUCGAUUUUCACGCCUCAUGUGAAGCUCGGAAAUGGAAUAGAAAUCAAGGGAGAGUCCACCUUCUAACGGACCACAUUCAACUCCAUCCUACCGCCCCUCAUUUUCCCACUUUAUGAAGCCAGGGCAGCCGGAAUGAUCCUCAUCGGUCCUGUCUAUGGAGGGAGAGAUACCAAUACUAAACCCCAUGUACUUUCGGUAUCCUAUGUGAACUACGUCGAUGGUCAGAAGAUUCGCUGCUA